GGGGGAGUAGCGCAAUUGGUUAGAGCAUCGGCUUGUCACGCCGAAGGUUGCGGGUUCGAGCCCCGUCUCUCCCGCCA
rnacentral:tRNA from 1 species